rnacentral:misc_RNA from 1 species
UCUCCGUUGGUGAACCAGCGGAGGGAUCAUUACAGAGUUAUCUAACUCCCAAACCCAUGUGAACUUACCUUUGUUGCCUCGGCAGUAGUUGCUGGGCGAGCCUACCCGGGAACGAGCUACCCUGUAGCGACCUACCCUGUAGCCGCCGGCGGACCAAUAAACUCUUGUUAUUCUAUGGAUAUCUGAGCGUCUUAUUUAAUAAGUUAAAACUUUCAACAACGGAUCUCUUGGUUCUGGCAUCGAUGAAGAACGCAGC